GUGGGGAUGUAUGGAUUCAGUUAGGACGGUUGGUUGUCAGAGAGUUGAUGGCAACCACAACCACAAACAGUGGAAGAAGAACUCUUGUGUCUCUUGGAUUAUUUUGCCAUUGAUGAUUUUUGAAGUUUCAAUCAACGGGGUUUGUAGGGAUUGGAUAAGGAAAGGUUUCCCAAGUUAUUGGAAGUGAUUUUACGGAGAAAUGAGGAAGAUUUGGAGAUUUGUGGUGGAGACGACGUCGUGGGAGGGGAAAAUAAGGUUUUGUGCGUAGAUAGAGAAAAUGGGUCUCUUAAAGUCAGUGACGAGUUAUAAUCGAUUACACGGUGACUUAAUAACCUGGAAAUCUGUCAUGGUAACCGAUUAUAUGAAUAGUGUAAUUGAUUACUGAUAAGAAUUAUGUAUUUCUAAACCCCUGGUAAUUGAUUACUCG
rnacentral:lncRNA from 1 species